rfam:Medicago truncatula strain A17 chromosome 4, whole genome shotgun sequence.
AGAGUAGAUUUGAGCCAAAGAUGACUUGCCGGCAUGCUGCCUGAAAAGCAAGAAGGGUGUUGUUUUGCUGGCAGUUGUCAUUGGUUCAUGUUUGCUCUUU